rnacentral:rRNA from 1 species
CUCUUCUUGGAUGAGUUGCGAACGGGUGAGUAACGCGUAGGUAACCUGCCUUGUAGCGGGGGAUAACUAUUGGAAACGAUAGCUAAUACCGCAUAACAAUGGAUGACACAUGUCAUUUAUUUGAAAGGGGCAAUUGCUCCACUACAAGAUGGACCUGCGUUGUAUUAGCUAGUAGGUGAGGUAAUGGCUCACCUAGGCGACGAUACAUAGCCGACCUGAGAGGGUGAUCGGCCACACUAGGACUGAGACACGGCCCAGACUCC